GUGAGGAAUAUUGCGCAAUGGGGGCAACCCUGACGCAGCGACGCCGCGUGGGUGACGAAGGCCUUCGGGUCGUAAAACCCUGUCGGGAGGAAAGAAAUGCGUUCAAGCCAACACCUUGGACGUUUGACGGUACCUCCAAAGGAAGCACCGGCUAACUCUGUGCCAGCAGCCGCGGUAAUACAGAGGGUGCAAGCGUUGUUCGGAAUUACUGGGCGUAAAGGGCGUGCAGGCGGCUUGUCAAGUCAGAUGUGAAAGCCCACGGCUCAACUGUGGAAGCGCAUUUGAAACUGGCAGGCUUGAGUACCAGAGGGGAAAGUGGAAUUCCCGGUGUAGAGGUGAAAUUCGUAGAUAUCGGGAGGAAUACCGGUGGCGAAGGCGACUUUCUGGCUGGAUACUGACGCUGAGACGCGAAAGCGCGGGGAGCAAACAGG
rnacentral:rRNA from 1 species